rnacentral:lncRNA from 1 species
UCCUGCCUCGGGCUGACCCGAGGAGUGAGAUGUCCUGAGCCCCUGUGCAGAUCGGGAGUGACGAGAAAUGUCAGAACCCAGGCAAGGAUCCAUUCAUCCUGGGGGCACACGCGAUUCGCGGCCCCAUUCCUAAGAGGCCAGGGGCAGAGGAGACUGGAGGAGUUGGUGGUGCACACGCUUGGUGCAAUGAGCUUGGGGACGGGUGCGACACAGACAAGUUGGACCGUGUUCGUAGUGUAGCAUUGUGGGCAAUGGGAAAGACAACCUCCCGCGGCAGAGUUUGGAGCACGGCUGAGAGCAAUCCGGAGAUGAAAAAAAAUACACCAUCCCCCUAG